rnacentral:rRNA from 1 species
UACGUAGGGACCGAGCGUUGUCCGGAAUCAUUGGGCGUAAAGAGCGUGUAGGCGGCCUUUUAAGUCCUGCGUGAAAUCCUGCGGCUCAACCGCAGACGGUCGUGGGAAACUGGAAGGCUAGAGUGCGGGAGAGGAGAGUGGAAUUCCCGGUGUAGCGGUGAAAUGCGCAGAUAUCGGGAAGAACACCCGUGGCGAAGGCGGCUCUCUGGAACGCAACUGACGCUGAGACGCGAAAGCGUGGGGAGCAAACAG